UUUGGUCCUGUCUUACCCUUUCCA
rnacentral:siRNA from 1 species